rnacentral:rRNA from 1 species
AACAUAGGGGGCGAGCGUUAUCCGGAAUUAUUGGGCGUAAAGAGUACGUAGGCGGCCUGUUAAGUCUGAUGUGAAAUCCCGCGGCUUAACCGCGGAGGGUCAUUGGAAACUGGCAGGCUUGAGUACGGCAGGGGUAAGUGGAAUUCCAAGUGGAGCGGUGAAAUGCGUAGAUAUUUGGAGGAACACCAGUGGCGAAGGCGGCUUACUGGGCCGGAACUGACGCUGAGGUACGAAAGCGUGGGGAGCAAACAGGAUUAGAUACCCUGGUAGUCCACGCCGUAAACGAUGAGCACUAAGUGUCGGAUAUAAAUUCGGCGCUGUAGUUAACACAUUAAGUGCUCCGCCUGGGGAGUACGGUCGCAAGACUGAAACUCAAAGGAAUUGACGGGGACUCGCACAAGCGGUGGAGCAUGCGGUUUAAUUCGAGGCAACGCGAAGAACCUUACCAGGUCUUGACAUCCCGCUGACCGGUCUAGAAAUAGGCCUUUCCUUCGGGACGGCGGUGACAGGUGGUGCAUGGUU